GGUUAAGCGACUAAGCGUACACGGUGGAUGCCCUGGCAGUCAGAGGCGAUGAAGGACGUGCUAAUCUGCGAUAAGCGUCGGUAAGGUGAUAUGAACCGUUAUAACCGGCGAUUUCCGAAUGGGGAAACCCAGUGUGAUUCGUCACACUAUCAUUAACUGAAUCCAUAGGUUAAUGAGGCGAACCGGGGGAACUGAAACAUCUAAGUACCCCGAGGAAAAGAAAUCAACCGAGAUUCCCCCAGUAGCGGCGAGCGAACGGGGAGCAGCCCAGAGCCUGAAUCAGUGUGUGUGUUAGUGGAAGCGUCUGGAAAGGCGCGCGAUACAGGGUGACAGCCCCGUACACAAAAAUGCACAUGCUGUGAGCUCGAUGAGUAGGGCGGGACACGUGGUAUCCUGUCUGAAUAUGGGGGGACCAUCCUCCAAGGCUAAAUACUCCUGACUGACCGAUAGUGAACCAGUACCGUGAGGGAAAGGCGAAAAGAACCCCGGCGAGGGGAGUGAAAAAGAACCUGAAACCGUGUACGUACAAGCAGUGGGAGCACGCUUAGGCGUGUGACUGCGUACCUUUUGUAUAAUGGGUCAGCGACUUAUAUUCUGUAGCAAGGUUAACCGAAUAGGGGAGCCGAAGGGAAACCGAGUCUUAACUGGGCGUUAAGUUGCAGGGUAUAGACCCGAAACCCGGUGAUCUAGCCAUGGGCAGGUUGAAGGUUGGGUAACACUAACUGGAGGACCGAACCGACUAAUGUUGAAAAAUUAGCGGAUGACUUGUGGCUGGGGGUGAAAGGCCAAUCAAACCGGGAGAUAGCUGGUUCUCCCCGAAAGCUAUUUAGGUAGCGCCUCGUGAAUUCAUCUCCGGGGGUAGAGCACUGUUUCGGCAAGGGGGUCAUCCCGACUUACCAACCCGAUGCAAACUGCGAAUACCGGAGAAUGUUAUCACGGGAGACACACGGCGGGUGCUAACGUCCGUCGUGAAGAGGGAAACAACCCAGACCGCCAGCUAAGGUCCCAAAGUCAUGGUUAAGUGGGAAACGAUGUGGGAAGGCCCAGACAGCCAGGAUGUUGGCUUAGAAGCAGCCAUCAUUUAAAGAAAGCGUAAUAGCUCACUGGUCGAGUCGGCCU
rnacentral:rRNA from 1 species